rnacentral:rRNA from 1 species
GGGCCCGCACAAGCGGCGGAGCAUGCGGCUUAAUUCGAUGCAACGCGAAGAACCUUACCUAGGCUUGACAGUUGGGGAAAACUGGCAGAGAUGUCAGGUCCGUAAGGCCCCAAAACAGGUGGUGCAUGGCUGUCGUCAGCUCGUGUCGUGAGAUGUUGGGUUAAGUCCCGCAACGAGCGCAACCCUCGUCGUAUGUUGCCAGCGGAUAACGCCGGGGACUCAUACGAGACUGCCGGGGUCAACUCGGAGGAAGGUGGGACGACGUCAAGUCAUCAUGCCCCUUAUGUCUAGGGCUGCACGCAUGCUACAAUGGCCGGUACAGAGGGCUGCGAAACGCAAGGUAGAGC